AAGUCGUAACAAGGUUUCCGUAGGUGAACCUGCGGAAGGAUCAUUAACACGUAUCCAACGUUAACCCCCCGUGAACCUUUAUUGUGGCACGCCUAUCCUGCUAAAUCAUCGCCGAACAGUUUUGAUUCAGGGACUUCUGCGUGGGUAGGACAACUGUGCGAGCAAGUGGCCUGGCAUCCCUCGAUUGUUAGUGUCUGAAAGUGUCACUAGCUCUGUACGGGUGCUCAAUCACGAUCGCUAGAGGCCAACACGGCCGGCGACCGGGUCAAUGGGCCCUCGGCCCCCUAGAUCACCCCUUUGCAUGCGUAAUUGUGCGGCCACCAAACUCGAACAACUGUUAACAAUGGUUCUC
rnacentral:misc_RNA from 1 species